AGUUUGAUCAUGGCUCAGGAUGAACGCUAGCGGCAGGCUUAAUACAUUCAAGUCAAGGGGGUAGCAAUACAACCGGCGCACGGGUGAGUAACGCGUACACAACAUACCAUAUACUGGGGUAUAGCUUUGGGAAACUGAAGGUAAUCCCCCAUAACAUUGCGAGAGGGCAUCUGAUUGCAAUUAAAGUUUCGGCGGUAUAUGAUUGGUGUGCGUUUGAUUAGCUAGUUGGUAGGGUAACGGCCUACCAAGGCGACGAUCAAUAGCUGGCGUGAGAGCGCGACCAGCCACACUGGAACUGAGACACGGUCCAGACUCCUACGGGAGGCAGCAGUAGGGAAUAUUGGACAAUGGAGGAAACUCUGAUCCAGCCAUGCCGCGUGAUAGAUGAAGGCCCUCUGGGUUGUAAAUAUCUUUUAUCUGGGAAGAAACAAUCUUAUUCUUAAGAUCUUGACGGCACCAGAGGAAUAAGCACCGGCUAACUCCGUG
rnacentral:rRNA from 1 species